UACGUAGGUGGCGAGCGUUGUUCGGAUUUAUUGGGCGUAAAGGGUCCGUAGGAGGUUGAUUAAAUUUGGGGUGAAAUUCCGGAGCUCAACUCCGGAACUGCCUUGAAGACUGAUCAACUAGAGUAUCGGAGAGGUAAGCGGAAUUCCAGGUGUAGCGGUGGAAUGCUUAGAUAUCUGGAAGAACACCGAAAGCGAAGGCAGCUUACUGGACGGUAACUGACUCUCAUGGACGAAAGCGUGGGGAGCAAACAGG
rnacentral:rRNA from 1 species